rnacentral:rRNA from 1 species
CCAAUAGCGUAUAUUAAAGUUGUUGCAGUUAAAAAGCUCGUAGUUGAACUUCGGGAUCAAUUGAUAUGGUCAUGCCUUGGUAUGUACUGUUCAUAUUGGUUCUCACCUUCUAAUGAACCAUAAUGUCAUUUAUUUGAUGUUAUGGGGAAUUAGGACUGUUACCUUGAAAAAAUUAGAGUGUUUAAAGCAGGCUCACGCUUGAAUACAUUAGCAUGGAAUAAUGAAAUAGGACAUCGCAUUCUAUUUUGUUGGUUUCUAGGAUCGAUGUAAUGAUUAAUAGGGAUAGUUGGGGGCAUUAGUAUUCAAUUGUCAGAGGUGAAAUUCUUGGAUUUAUUGAAGACUAACUACUGCGAAAGCAUUUGCCAAGGAUGUUUUCAUUAAUCAAGAACGAAAGUUAGGGGAUCGAAGACGAUCAGAUACCGUCGUAGUCUUAACCAUAAACUAUGCCGACUAGGGAUCGGAUGAUGUUGAUUUUUUAAUGACUCAUUCGGCACCUUACG